rnacentral:misc_RNA from 1 species
AAGAGACGUUGCCCUUCGGGGUAUACCUCCUACCCUUUGUUUAUUAUACCUUUGUUGCUUUGGCGGGCCCGUCCUCGGACCACCGGCUUCUGCUGGUCAGUGCCCGCCAGAGGACCUAAAACUCUGUUUGUUAAUAUUGUCUGAGUACUAUAUAAUAGUUA